ACACCUACGGGGGGCAGCAGUAGGGAAUCUUCGGCAAUGGGCGAAAGCCUGACCGAGCAACGCCGCGUGAAUGAAGAAGGCCUUCGGGUUGUAAAAUUCUGUUAUAAGGGAAGAAAGGUGAUAGGAGGAAAUGACUAUCAAUUGACGGUACCUUAUGAGAAAGCCACGGCUAACUACGUGCCAGCAGCCGCGGUAAUACGUAGGUGGCAAGCGUUGUUCGGAAUAACUGGGCGUAAAGGAUGCGUAGGCGGUUAAACAAGUUAUAUGUUAAAUAUAUAGGCUUAACCCGUAGAAAGCAUAUAAAA
rnacentral:rRNA from 1 species